UGAAUUAAGUAGAGAAAACUUUAACAUUGCCAGCUUAAUAAUAUUUAAUAGCUUAGUUUCCAUAUUUUGUGUUAAUAAUGCCAUUGGGGCCAUUUUAUGGAAUAUUUCUUUAAUUUGGCAUAAAACUUUAAGCUACCUUGAGAGGUUCGACACGUGUUGAGAGCUGCUGGCGAACUCUGAUUGUGCCAUUGUUGUGACAACCUCUUUCUAGUUUCGUCAGGGUAAAGUUUAUCCAACUCUUGCCCGCUUAAAGGUAAACACAGAGAAAGAGAGAGAGAGAGCGCUCAAAGACAGCCGCUGGCCUUAGCCUGGUCAAGCCGAGAACCUGGACAAACACACGCGCUAAGUUGAUCAACAAUGCGAAUGCCUUGAGGCAGUCGUUGCUGUUGCUGUUCUUGUUAUCAUUUGUUGGUUUCGGGUUGUGCUGCAACUAAUUGAAAAUCGUUUCCUGACAAGCUGUUGCUGC